AGGUUACUGCUAUCGAGGUUCGACUAAGCCAUGCGAGUCGAAUGUAGCAAUACAUGGCGAACUGCUCAGUAACACGUGGACAACCUGCCCUUAGGUUGGGUAUAAACCCGGGAAACUGGGUAUAAUACCCGAUAGGUCUCGAUUGCUGGAAUGCAUCGAGAUUUAAAGCUCCGGCGCCUAAGGAUGGGUCUGCGGCCUAUCAGGUAGUAGUGGGUGUAGCGUACCUACUAGCCUACGACGGGUACGGGUUGUGAGAGCAAGAGCCCGGAGAUGGAUUCUGAGACACGAAUCCAGGCCCUACGGGGUGCAGCAGGCGCGAAAACUUUACAAUGCUGGCAACAGCGAUAAGGGAACCUCGAGUGCCAGGUUACAAAUCUGGCUGUCGAGAUGCCUAAAAAGCAUUUCAUAGCAAGGGCCGGGCAAGACCGGUGCCAGCCGCCGCGGUAACACCGGCGGCUCGAGUGGUAACCGUUAUUAUUGGGUCUAAAGGGUCUGUAGCCGGCCGGAUAAGUCUCUUGAGAAAUCUGGCAGCUUAACUGUCAGGCUUUCAGGAGAUACUGUCUGGCUCGAGGCCGGGAGAGGUGAGAGGUACUUCAGGGGUAGGGGUGAAAUCUUGUAAUCCUUGAAGGACCACCAGUGGCGAAGGCGUCUCACCAGAACGGACCUGACGGCAAGGGACGAAAGCUAGGGGCACGAACCGGAUUAGAUACCCGGGUAGUCCUAGCCGUAAACGAUACUCGCUAGGUGUCGGCCACGGUGCGACCGUUGUCGGUGCCGUAGGGAAGCCGUGAAGCGAGCCACCUGGGAAGUACGGGCGCAAGGCUGAACUUAAAGGAAUUGGGGGGGGAGCACAAUCGUCG
rnacentral:rRNA from 1 species